GAUGAACGCUGGCGGCGUGCCUAACACAUGCAAGUCGAGCGAGAAGUUACUCAAUGAAUCUUCGGAAGAAUUAAGUAAUGGAAAGCGGCGGACGGGUGAGUAACGCGUGGGCAACCUGCCUUUCACAGAGGGAUAGCCAAAGGAAACUUUGAUUAAAACCUCAUAAAGCCGGAAUAGUGCAUAAUAUACUGGCCAAAGAUUUAUCGGUGAAAGAUGGGCCCGCGUCUGAUUAGCUAGUUGGUGGGGUAACGGCUCACCAAGGCAACGAUCAGUAGCCGACCUGAGAGGGUGAUCGGCCACAUUGGAACUGAGACACGGUCCAAACUCCUACGGGAGGCAGCAGUGGGGAAUAUUGCACAAUGGGCGCAAGCCUGAUGCAGCAACGCCGCGUGAACGAAGAAGGCCUUCGGGUCGUAAAGUUCUGUCCAUAGGGAAGAAACAAAUGACGGUACCUAUGGAGGAAGCCCCGGCUAAAUACGUGCCAGCCGCCGCGGUAA
rnacentral:rRNA from 2 species